rnacentral:rRNA from 1 species
GACGGAGGGUGCUAGCGUUGUUCGGAUUUACUGGGCGUAAAGGGCGCGUAGGCGGCCUUCUCAGUCGGGUGUGAAAGCCCGGGGCUCAACCCCGGAACGGCACCCGAGACGGGAAGGCUGGAGACCGGGAGAGGAGGGUGGAAUAGCCAGUGUAGAGGUGAAAUUCGUAGAUAUUCGGAAGAACACCAGUGGCGAAGGCGGCUCACUGGACUGGUAUUGACGCUGAGGUGCGAAAGCGUGGGGAGCAAACAGG